GAUCCUGGCUCAGGAUGAACGCUGGCGGCGUGCCUAAUACAUGCAAGUCGAACGCUUCACAUUUGUGAAGAGUGGCGAACGGGUGAGUAAUACAUAAGUAACCGGGCAUCUACAGGGGGGAUAACUGAUGGAAACGUCAGCUAAGACCGCAUAGGUGUAGAGAUCGCAUGAACUCUAUAUGAAAAGUGCUACGGGACUGGUAGAUGAUGGACUUAUGGCGCAUUAG
rnacentral:rRNA from 1 species